GAUGAACGCUGGCGGCGUGCCUAAUACAUGCAAGUCGAGCGAACAGACGAGGAGCUUGCUCCUCUGACGUUAGCGGCGGACGGGUGAGUAACACGUGGAUAACCUACCUAUAAGACUGGGAUAACUUCGGGAAACCGGAGCUAAUACCGGAUAACAUUUUGAACCGCAUGGUUCAACAGUGAAAUACGGUCUUGCUGUCACUUAUAGAUGGAUCCGCGCCGCAUUAGAUAGUUGGUAAGGUAACGGCUUACCAAGGCAACGAUGCGUAGCCGACCUGAGAGGGUGAUCGGCCACACUGGAACUGAGACACGGUCCAGACUCCUACGGGAGGCAGCAGUAGGGAAUCUUCCGCAAUGGGCGAAAGCCUGACGGAGCAACGCCGCGUGAGUGAUGAAGGUCUUCGGAUCGUAAAACUCUGUUAUUAGGGAAGAACAAAUGUGUAAGUAACUAUGCACGUCUUGACGGUACCUAAUCAGAAAGCCACGGCUAACUACGUG
rnacentral:rRNA from 1 species